rnacentral:rRNA from 1 species
CCUACGGGAGGCAGCAGUGAGGAAUAUUGGUCAAUGGUCGGGAGACUGAACCAGCCAAGCCGCGUGAGGGAGGAAGGUACAGAGUAUCGUAAACCUCUUUUGUCAGGGAACAAAGGCGGGGACGUGUCCCCGGAUGAGUGUACCUGAAGAAAAAGCAUCGGCUAACUCCGUGCCAGCAGCCGCGGUAAUACGGAGGAUGCGAGCGUUAUCCGGAUUUAUUGGGUUUAAAGGGUGCGCAGGCGGUCUGUUAAGUCCGCGGUAAAAGCCCGGGGCUCAACCCCGGCCCGCCGUUGAAACUGGCAGUCUCGAGUUGGAGAGAAGUAUGCGGAAUGCGCGGUGGAGCGGUGAAAUGCAUAGAUAUCGCGCAGAACGCCGAUUGCGAAGGCAGCAUGCCGGCUCCACACUGACGCUGAGGCACGAAAGCGUGGGUAUCGAACAGGAUUAGAUACCCUUGUAGUC